rnacentral:misc_RNA from 1 species
ACACCGGCCAGCAGCACAGUGCUCCACCGGCAUCCGGACCACCUCCCGACAGCUCCCAGACGCUCAGACUGCCGACAUGAAGUGCCACGUGAUCGCAGCGCUCUGCCUCGCCGCAGUGAUCGCCUCUGUGACGGCUGACUCCGCUCAGCAUGUUCAGGGCGCCCAGCAGGCCGAGCCGCAGUUCCAGCCGCAGCAGCAGUUCCAGAGGCCCCAGCAGCCGGCGCCGUUCAGGCCGCUGCCCUACAACCAGCAGCUCCGCCGCCAGAGCCCCAUGAGCCGGAUGCGCGACUCCAUCUACAGCUUCUUCAGCAACCUGAUGAGCGCCGGCCGUCAGUUCCGUCAGCAGGCCUCUGCGCGCAUCUUCAGCAUGUUCAACCGCCGCUCCAUCAACCGGAGGCUGCAGCGUCAGGAGUACGCCCCUGCGCCGGUCCAGGGCCCCGUGCCGUCCCAGCAGCCCCUGCAGUAGAUGCCCCCGACCCGGGGCGCCGCCCGGGGCGUCCGAGCGCUGCUCCUCGGGGCAGCUCUGACAGUGCCAGCCGACUGACCGGCCCGACCGCUCAGCCAGUGCCGACUGGCAGCGGCAGAGCGGAGCCCAGACAGCGGGCCGGCUAGCGGGCCGCACCUCCACCGUCCGCGGUGCCGGCCGCGCUCAGACAGCAUUGGCGAGUCCAAAACGUGUGAAUGUCGAUAUUGCGCUCAUUGUGUGAGAGGAAUGCGUGCAAACCAGGGUUCAUCGUCACGCGAGUACGAAGACGUUUAUUGUUGUUACGAGUGAUUGACGAUUGUUGAUUGUUUCUGUUGCGCUCAACACUUUGCCUUUUGCACUGUUCUACCUCAGGAUGCGAUGUCUUUGUUUCUGUUUUGUUUGGCAAAGUCGCUGUAGGACGGCGCCCCAGAGAUACAUAUAGCAAGACACGCCCUGAUCAUUUCUAUGUCACGUGCGUCAAGAGGUGCAUCUUGUGUGCGAUCAUGGCCACCUCUGCAACGAGUGUGGUUUGUGCAUUUACUAUUUAUUUCAUGUGUCAUUGUAUAAUAAAGCCACAAAUCCAA